GAGCAUAAACUGCAGGAGUUAACUGAGCAAAGAAGACGUUUGACUGUAGAUCUGGAGGCAACUCUAGAUGGUAUACAAAAUGCAUGUCGUUGUGCUUCAGAAAGAACUACAUUUGUACCACCUUCUGAAAAGGAAGUACAUGAGUUGCAUGAACUGUCUGAGAAGAAGCAGCAGUUACUGGAAGCACUGGAAUCUAAUCAGAAAGAGCUACAAGGAAUUCAGGAACUUGCAGCUACCCAUCCAGGCAGCAUCAGUGAGCAUAAGCUCCAGGAGUUCAUUGAGCAAAAAAGACAUUUGACCGUGGAUCUGGAGGCAACCCUAGAGGGUAUACAGAAUGCAUGUCGUCGUGCUUCAGAAAGAAUUACGUUUAUACAACCUUCUGAAAAGGAAUUACAUGAGUUGCAUGAAUUGGCUGAGAAAAAGCAUCAGUUACUGGAAACACUGGAAUCUAAUCGGAAAGAGCUACAAGAAAUUCAGAAAUGUGCAUCUACCCAACCAGGGAGUG